GACACAGGUGUGCAGACGGAAAGGCAGAGAGCAAACAAAAAUAAGCCCUAGAGGAGAGAGAGGAAAAAAAUACAUUUUGUCCCAACAAUAUGGCAUCCAUGUAAUGCUGAUAUCCAAAUGACACAGCAUUGCUCCUGCUAGGAAGGCCAGAAGUCAGCCUGUAGAUAGUCAUGUCUGACAUCUUUGUCCUAAAACGAGUUGCUCAGAAGAGGACCUGGAUAAAUUGCAAGAUAUCUCAGAACAAAGGACUUGUGUUUCAUAGGGACCAGACUUUUCAACUGAGAGAUCAAAGAGGAAAUCGCAGAACGGAAACCAGAUUUCAAAGGAUGUCACCAGAGCCAUGCACAUUAGGCUUGGGUGACUCCUUUAUUCUCACAUCCCACCCUGGCUCUUCCAGGAUGCCAGGCAGACUUCCUCUGGCUGUGAUCCUCCAGCACUGGGGUGUUGCUCCUGGGCGGGGCUCAUUGGUCUCUUCUGUUUGUAAGAAAUGGUAACACUUUACCCAUAGCACAAAAGCUUAGUGGACUGAAGGUGGCUCCAGGUGGCCCCUGUCACUCUUGUCUGUCCACCUCCUGCUUCCUUGACCACUCAGCCCUCUACUCCAGACAGAAGUUACAGCCUCAAAUAGUUGGGAAUCUUUCAAUCUUUCUGAACAUUAAUUAAUCACCACCCUCAUCCCUUCAGACCAAAGAAACUCCAUCUUGAUCAUUCCUGGGACUGGGUCAUGUGAUGAAGAUGGGCAAGAGGCCAAUUCCUAAGUGACCCUACCCCACCAUUAUCAUAGAUGUCUAUCCAGAUGGAUGGUCAUCAAUCACGGCCACCCUCAGCCUCUCCAAGCAAGCAGGCUCAGCCUAGGACAAACACCUGUUUCCUUGCCUGGCUUUACUUUAAAGGCUUGCUCUUCUAAAAGAACAUGCUUGCCAAACACACCAAUUGCUUAUCCCAUUAUCCUCUUUCUGACAGUGACAUUGAAGGACAAUUUGUAGAAAGACACAGUGUGGAGCACUUUCCCCAAGUUACAUUGCAUUUUAGUAAUGAUCUCAAAAGAUAUCCCUCAAAUAUCCCUUACUCCCCUUAAUAAUCCAUUAGUGAUGUGUUGUCUAUAAAUUUAUUUAUAUACAAUCUCAGUCCUACUAAUUUCUUUCAUGUUCUGCCUCUUAAGGAACACGUACCUUAAGCUAACUAUUAUUUAAAGUACUCCUUUCUUUUUUAUGAGUCUGCUAAAUUUAUCUCUUUAAUCCCAACUUCCGGCAUUUGGUGAAUAAUAU
rnacentral:lncRNA from 1 species